UUUAAACUUAGUAUACAUCCAUAGGUAAUGGCUGCAAGUGAGAAUCUACUUUUUGAAACAAGUUGAAAAAAAGCAUUUGUCUACAAAAGAACAUCAGAUACUGCACUUUUUACAAAUUGAAUGUUUGUGGCAAGCCUGCAUCGAGAAAGUCCAUUGAUGCCAUUUUUUUCAAACAACAGAGGAUCUGGGUGAAGAGAGACUGAGACACAGGUGUCCUAAAGCAGAGGACAACAGUGCAGAAAGAGGACCUGUGCCAUCUGAAGGCAUGCCUCACAGCAGAGAAACAUCAACUCACCUGAAAGGGAAGCAAUGGACAGUUGCAUUAAUGAAAUUGGAUCAUGCUUUCUGCUUGUUAUUAAAUUUUACUUUCUGAUAGUUAAGGAAUGCUUGUAACUGAGGAAGUACCGACUUUUCUGGAAGGCAUAUUUCCCAGAUUUGUAAGAAGAGUUAGAACCACAAAAACAUGGUAGCAAAAAAGGUAACUCACCAUGUCUUUUGGGCUUCGGGUACCCCAGCCUGAAAAUUU
rnacentral:lncRNA from 10 species